rnacentral:lncRNA from 1 species
UUCCAAAUAAGGAAGUUGCAUAUCAAAAAGCUCUCUCACAAGAAUGAGAAAUUCUCAUUAACACGCAUCAUAUGCAUACAUGACAUAAUAAAUCCUUCCCGUCAACCCUUUGAUGAUGACAUAACCUGGCUUUUUCUUUUCCGUCAACCUUUUGACGAUGACAAACUCUUUUCCAUCAGCCCUCUGAUGAUGAUAUUUUACAAAAUUCCUUUUCCACCAACCCUUUGGUGAUGCCACUCCCUAGUGAAGUUUCUUUCCGUCAACCCUUUGACGAUG